rnacentral:rRNA from 1 species
AUACGGAGGGUGCGAGCGUUAUUCGGGAUCACUGGGCGUAAAGGACGCGUAGGCGGGUUGGCAAGUCAGAUGUGAAAUCCUACAGCUUAACUGUAGAACUGCAUUUGAAACUGCUAACCUAGAGUAUGGGAGGGGGAGAUGGAAUUAGUGGUGUAGGGGUAAAAUCCGUAGAUAUCACUAGGAAUACCGAAAGCGAAGGCGAUCUCCUGGAACAUAACUGACGCUAAGGCGUGAAAGCGUGGGGAGCAAACAGGAUUAGAAACCCUAGUAGUCC